rnacentral:rRNA from 1 species
AUGCGAUUCCCUAAUGCUAGUGAAGUAGAAAGGGCAUGUUGUUAUGGAAAACGCUUGCCUCUGAAGGAAGGGAACAUUGUUGUAUGUAUUACUCCUUGGACUGCUUCUAUUGGAGCCAAAGGCAUUAUGGAGAAAGCAUGGGUUAGGGUUCGCAACAUUCCCAUAGAGAAAAGAUGCACUGAACAUAUAGCUUAUACUGGAGCUCUAGUUGGGAUUACUUUAGAAGUUGAUGAAUCGACCGUUCAUAAACCUGAAUAUGCUAGAAUCCUUCUCGGUUGUAGAGAGGUUGAGAAAAUUCCCCCUUCAGCUGAAGGAAUGCUGGGAGAACAGUAUUAUGAUUUUUUCUAUGAAGUUGAAAAAGUUGUGACUGUGGGUGCUGAGAAAAGUCAGUCCUAUACUGCUGUGGAUAGCAGUGCAUCUCCUUCCUUCCCCAAGAAAGCGAGGAUGGACUCAUAUCCUGCUUCUUCCAUGGGGCAGGGGGAGACGAAUACAUCCGUGACUGGUAAUUUUUCCUCUCAGAACUAUGGUAAGGGUAUGCAGAGGCUUCCGGCAGUGGCUGAGAGUGAAGAAGAAGAUGAGAGUGAGGAAGGUAACAACACAGAGCUUCUGAUUGAGACUAUGGCCAGAGAACAUGCGGCUGAAAAAAUGUCUUAUUGUGGAUCUCAAUCUGAUAAAAAAUCAUGUGAGAAUGUCUCUGAGGAUUUGAAAGUGGAAGAGAUGACUGAAUCUCCCAGUAAUGAGAUCAGUGUGCAUCAAGGUGCUUGGGGAAUGAUUACUCCUGUUCCACCCUCACCUCUGUUUAUGUGUCACGAUGUGAAUACUUAUGGGAAUGCUUUUCCUCCCUUGUCAGACUAUGUGGUUUGGCCCUCCCUGCCUCACAUUGUGCCUCUCGAAGAGGGUUUCAUGGAAGGAGGAGAAAACUGCAGUGUCUAUACAGUUGAAUCUCCCUCCAGAUGA